rnacentral:rRNA from 1 species
AACGGGUGAGUAACGCGUGAGUAACCUGCCUUUCAGAGGGGGAUAACGUUCUGAAAAGAACGCUAAUACCGCAUGAGACUACAGAGCUGCAUGGCUCAGUGGUCAAAGGAGCAAUCCGCUGAAAGAUGGACUCGCGUCCGAUUAGAUAGUAGGCGGGGUAACGGGCCCACCUAGUCGACGAUCGGUAGCCGGACUGAGAGGUUGAACGGCCACAUUGGGACUGAGACACGGCCCAGACUCCUACGGGAGGCAGCAUG